rnacentral:rRNA from 1 species
CCCAGAGUCAUACGAGAGGCAGCAGUAGGGAAUAUUGGACAAUGGGCGCAAGCCUGAUCCAGCAAUGCCGCGUGAGUAAUGAAGGCUUUAGGGUUGUAAAGCUCUUUUACCCGAGAUGAUAAUGACAGUAUCGGGAGAAUAAGCUCCGGCUAACUCCGUGCCAGCAGCCGCGGUAAUACGGAGGGAGCUAGCGUUGUUCGGAAUUACUGGGCGUAAAGCGCACGUAGGCGGCGAUUUAAGUCAGAGGUGAAAGCCCGGGGCUCAACCCCGGAACUGCCUUUGAGACUGGAUUGCUAGAAUCUUGGAGAGGCGAGUGGAAUUCCGAGUGUAGAGGUGAAAUUCGUAGAUAUUCGGAAGAACACCAGUGGCGAAGGCGGCUCGCUGGACAAGUAUUGACGCUGAGGUGCGAAAGCGUGGGGAGCAAACAGGAUUAGAUACCCU